rnacentral:rRNA from 1 species
GCUCCAAACCACUCUGAGCACACUGGUCUUGAUUGAUUCCAGAAGCUAAGCAAGUUUAUGCUUGGUUAGUACUUGGAUGGGAGACUGCCAAGGAAGACCAGAGAAUUCCAAGCU